CCAAGAAUCUUGUCCAAUGGGCGAAAGCCUGAGACAGCAACGCCGCGUGGAGGAUGAAGGCCUUCGGGUUGUAAACUCCUGUCAGAGGGGGCGAAGCUAUAUGGGUAAAUAAUCCAUAUAGUUGACGGUACCCUCAAAGGAAGCCCCGGCUAAUUACGUGCCAGCAGCCGCGGUAAUACGUAUGGGGCAAGCGUUGCUCGGAUUAACUGGGCGUAAAGGGCGCGUAGGCGGUAUUGCAAGUUAAAUGUGAAAUCCCACUGCUUAACGGUGGACACGCACUUAAGACUGCGAUACUUGAGUCCGGGUAAAGAGAAUGGAAUUCCGAGUGUAGGGGUGAAAUCUGUAGAUAUUCGGAAGAACACCAGUGGCGUAGGCGAUUCUCAAAUCCGGUACUGACGCUGAGGCGCGAAAGCGUGGGGAGCAAACAGG
rnacentral:rRNA from 1 species